AAAUUCCUGAAUCAAAGAAGACAAGUAUCAACUCCAUUCAGUGAACUAAUUAGUUCUUUCCCACCCAAUUUUCCUCCCAUCCAUGACGGCCACUGCUAGGAUGAAAAGGUGCUAACCAUAGAAAGUUCCUCUGUCAAUGGCAUCCGAGUUGGCUUCUCCCAGGGCAGCCUCGCUCAAAUACUUGUCGGCUAACUGCACUCUCUUGACAUUCUCCUGCUCUUGGACCAGCAUGUUACCAUACUCGAGUAGCUUCUCCACUGUCAUCUUGGGCUG